rnacentral:rRNA from 1 species
UAGCCGUUGGAACGACGAUUAAUACCGCAUGAGACCACAGAACCGCAUGGUAAAGGGGUCAAAGAUUUAUCGGUGUAAGAUGGGCUCGCGUCUGAUUAGCUAGUUGGAAGGGUAAAGGCCUACCAAGGCGACGAUCAGUAGCCGGUCUGAGAGGAUGAACGGCCACAUUGGAACUGAGACACGGCCCAAACUCCUACGGGAGGCAGCAGCC